AAAGUAAGGUUUUUGAGGGAUUUUGGACUCAACCUGUCAAAUUGUGGUGAUAAAUUAAAUAUUAGUAGCUUCCCAUGCAUUUGAUUCAAACAACAUAAGGUUCUGGCAUGGUGAGUCUUUCUCCCGCUUCUCUUUGUAUUUGUACAUUACAUUAUAUUAUAUAAAUAAAAGAAAUAACCCAUUUAUGAUAUGAUACAUUUGUACAUGGUUAUUUAUUAUGCUUGAGAUACUUGCUCAUGUACAAU
rnacentral:misc_RNA from 1 species